UUCUUUAUUAGUCUUGCUAGCAGUCUAUCAAUUUUGUUGAUCUUUUCAAAAAACCAACUUCUGGAUUCAUUGAUUUUUUGGAGGGUUUUUUGUGUCUCUAUCUCCUUCAGUUCUGCUCUGAUCUUAGUUAUUUAUUGCCUUCUGCUAGAUUUUGAAUGUGUUUGCUCUUGCUUCUCUAGUUCUUUUAAUUGUGAUGUUAGAGCAUCAAUUUUAGAUCUUUCCUGCUUUCUCUUGUGGAUAUUUAGUGCUAUAAAUUUCCCUCUACACACUGCUUUAAAUGUGUCCCAGAGAUUCUGGUAUGUGGUAUCUUUGUUCUCAUUGGUUUCAAAGAACAUCUUUAUUUCUGCCUUCAUUUCGUUAUGUACCCAGUAGUCAUUCAGGAGCAGGUUAUUCAGUUUCCAUGUAGUUGAGUGGUUUUGAUUGAGUUUCUUAGUCCUGAGUUCUAGUUUGAUUGCACUGUGGUCUGAGAGACAGUUUGUUAUAAUUUCUGUUCUUGUACAUUUGCUGAGGAGUGCUUUACUUCCAAUUAUGUGGUCAAUUUUGGAAUAAGUGUGAUGUGGUGCUGAGUAGAAUGUAUAUUCUGUUGAUUUGGGGUGGAGUGUUCUGUAGAUGUCUAUUAGGUCUGCUUGCUGCAGAGAUGAGUUCAAUUCCUGGAUAUCCUUGUUAACUUUCUGUCUCGUUGAUCUGUCUAAUGUUGACAGUGGGGUGUUGAAGUCUCCCAUUAUUACUGUAUGGGAGUCUAAGUCUCUUUGUAAGUCUCUAAGGACUUGCUUUAUGAAUCUGGGUGCUCCUGUAUUGGGUGCAUAUAUAUUUAGGAUAGUUAGUUCUUCCUGUUGAAUUGAUCCCUUUACCAUUACGUAAUGGCCUUCUUUGUCCUUCAUCUUUGAUGGUUUAAAGUCUGUUUUAUCAGAGACUAGUAUUGCAACCCCUGCUUUUUUUGGUUCUCCAUUUGCUUGGUAGAUCUUCCUCCAUCCCUUUAUUUUGAGUCUAUGUAUGUCUCUGCAUGUGAGAUGGGUCUCCUGAAUACAGAAAACUGAUGGGUCUUGACUCUUUAUCCAGUUUGCCAAUCUGUGUCUUUUAAUUGGAUCAUUUAGUCCAUUUACAUUUAAGGUUAAUAUUGUUAUGUGUGAACUUGAUCCUGCCAUUAUGAUAUUAACUGGUUAUUUUGCUCGUUAGUUGAUGCAGUUUCUUCCUAGCCUCGAUGGUCUUUACAUUUUGGCAUGUUUUUGCAAUGGCUGGUACCGGUUGUUGCUUUCCAUGUUCAGUGCUUCCUUCAGGGUCUCUUGUAAGGCAGGCCUGGUGGUGACAAAAUCUCUAAGCAUUUGCUUAUCUGUAAAGGAUUUUAUUUCUCCCUCACUUAUGAAACUUAGUUUGGCUGGAUAUGAAAUUCUGGGUUUAAAAUUCUUUACUUUAAGAAUGUUGAAUAUUGGCCCCCACUCUCUUCUGGAUUGUAGAGUUUCUGCCAAGAGAUCUGCUGUUAGUCUGAUGGGCUUCCCUUUGUGGGUAACCCGACCUUUCUCUCUGGUUGCCCUUAAGAUUUUUUCCUUCAUUUCAACUUUGGUGAAUCUGGCAAUUAUGUGUCUUGGAGUUGCUCUUCUUGAGGAGUAUCUUUGUGGCGUUCUCUGUAUUUCCUGAAUUUGAAUGUUGGCCUGCCCUGCUAGGUUGGGGAAGUUCUCCUGGAUGAUAUCCUGACGAGUGUUUUCCAACUUGGUUCCAUUUUCCCUCUCACUUUCAGGCACCCCAAUCAGAUGUAGAUUUGGUCUUUUUACAUAAUCCCAUACUUCUUGCAGGCUUUGUUCAUUUCUUUUUCUUCUUUUUUCUUUAGGUUUCUCUUCUCGCUUCAUUUCAUUCAUUUGAUCCUCAAUUGCUGAUACUCUUUCUUCCAGAUGAUCGAGUCGGUUACUGAAGCUUGUGCAUUUGUCAUGUAUUUCUCAUGUCAUGGUUUUCAUCUCUGUUAAUUCGUUUAUGGCCUUCUCUGCAUUAAUUAUUCUAGUUAUCAAUUCUUCCACUCUUUUUUCAAGAUUUUUAGUUUCUUUGCUUUGGAAUGCGUAAUUCCUCCUUUAGCUCUGAGAAGUUUGAUGGACUGGAGCCUUUUUCUCUCAUCUCGUCAAAGUCAUUCUCCGUCCAGCUUUGAUCCCUUGCUGGCGAUGAGCUGCGUUCCUUUGCAGGGGGCGAUGCGCUCUUAUUUUUUGAAUUUCCAGCUUUUCUGCCCUGCUUUUUCCCAUCCUUGUGGUUGUAUCUGC
rnacentral:lncRNA from 1 species